CUUCCAUGUGGAUAUUAAGUCCCCUGAAAAGCUUCUUGGAGGACAUCAGAUUUAAAUGAAUAGAAGAGGGCCCCUGAAUGGCUGAGUGAAGAGGAGGGGGCCGCAGGGCAGUUCAAGCCACUUCCAAGAUGGAGAAGGCAUGGGAACCCACGAUGGCAGUGGAGUAAAAGACAACCCCUCCCUUCAAGACAGGUUCCUCCAGUUUGCAAAGCGAGGCCAUAGAACUGGGAAAUGCAAAAUGAAAUCUGCAAUGAAACACUAACACCCACCCACCAGGAUAGCUAAAAUUAAAGACUGAUACCAAGUGCUGGCAAGAAAGUGGAGCAAUGGGGCUUCUUGUGCCUUGUGGCCCCGGUGACUACCUAGAGAAUGGAGAAUUCUCCUGAUAGAAUCAGCUGGUGGAAUAUGACUCAGCAACAAAAGAGGCCAACUACCAAACACGAGCCACAACAUGAAUGAAUGUCCUAUGUGACUUAAAGAGGCACAGAGUCAACUCUACCCUGAGUCAAUUUCUGUGAAGACCCGAAACAAAUGAAACUAAUGUGGGGCGACAAGAUUAGAGCAACCUGGAAGGAGGAACGUUCUGGAGAGUUCGUAAUGUCUCUUGAUAGGAGUUUCAGUGACAUGGGUACAGGUGUCUGUUGCCUAAUGUGGAAAUAAGGUCUGUGCACUUCUUGUAUGUGAUUUUUAACCUUAGAAACAGUCUACAGAAAGGACUGGGGUUUGGUUCAGUGGCGGGGUGUUAGGAUAUGCGAGGCCCUGGGCUCUUUCCACACACGCAUACAUACUGCCAUUGUGUCGGGAAGUGAUUAGAAACAACAUACAUUGAUGUCUGUAACUUUCUUUGAAACACAUUCUCCCCACCCCCACACACAUAAUAAAUCAAUACUAAUUUUUAAAGGAGAAAAAAGGUACAAGGGAACUCCAAAGAUGGUCCUUCUCCUCUUCCAUCCCCAGCGUCUGUCCGAACUGGUUCAUUUCAUCCACCUGGACCACCUUUCAGACUCUCCCUCAACCCCAUAUAGACAUCCAACUAAUGGCCACUCUGCUCUCUCUUCCUCCACCCACUUCAGCCACGGUCCCAAAGAGCUGCACAACCAGCCUGGCCUGCCCACCUUCAGGCCAUUAGAAACAAGCUCAAUCUUAUUUCUGUGCUGCAGAUGACUUGAAGGCAAUACCUGGGAUCUGUUUGCCUCAAAGUGCUUGGCGGAACACAGAUUCUACAUAAAUUCUCGCAGGAGUGAGGGCACUCGAUGACAGCCAGAGGCACAGACACAGAAAACAGAAGACGCAGCCUGAGCGCCAGCCUGGAUAAGAAGGAGCCAGAGCAGACAUUCUCCUGAAGAAGUCAAAGCUCUCAACCAGGCCCAGGCCACUCCAGUGAGCCUGCAGCGCCCCACCCCACACUCUGUCCCAUGUUCCUCCCCAAAUCCCCUCACCAUGCCAGCCAUCUUGCAACUCUGAGCUGAGCAAGGUUGGGUUCCAAUUCCUGGCAGAGCCCAGUUUCCUGUUUUUCUCCAAGUGGACAAGGUCAGGCUGCUGCUGGGAAGGGAUGCGGGACCCCAGAGGGCAACAAAUCUCAACCACAUGGAGGAAGGAGGGGCUCUGAGCCACACCGGGCCCCUCCCUGGGUCCCUCUUUCUCUGUGUAGAGGCCCCACCACUCUGACAGCCUUGCAGAACCCUGCAAGGCCUCUGGGUACCCUCUCACCUGGGUUUCAGUUUGCUCAUCUAUAAAAUGCAGCAGGAGGGUCUAAAGAAUCUUCCUGCGUGCAAGAGAAUCCAAGUUAGACAAGUCGGGGACAUGUCCUCCAAAAGGACCCCAGUGGCUACCUGUGCCGUAGGGCCUGUUACAGGAGCUGAAGUAGUGAUGACAGCACUUGCUGACUGCAUCCCAGCCCUGUGUGGGACUUUCCGUGCCAUCUCAUCUUCACAGAGACCUCUGAGAAACAUAAGAGCACUUUUGUAGCCUGGUAUUGCAAAGGGGAGAGCGAGGCUGCAAGCCCAGCAGCCCUGGGAGCCCUGUGCCCACAGUCCUGCCACCUUCCUCCUCAUGCUGCUGGUGUGGACUAUAUCUGGGAAAUCCAGGAAUGGCGGUGAACUGUGAGGCCUUAAUGGAAGUGGCUGAGGAGUCACUGUGUAAGAACAAUAAAAUGCUUUGCUGGCUGGUACCCACAGAAACCAGGGACUUAAUACAAAGAGCCAGUCCAUAAGCAUCAGGCCAUACCCCAUUACCACUGUGUAGGGGACAGUAAGCCACACCUGUUAGAGGCGUGGUCAAAGUGAGGUCAGGAUGACCUCUCUGGGCUCUUAAGGGGCCACAGAGCGCAUGGAAGCCCCUUCUCCUGCCCCUUCUCUCUGGCCUCACUGCUCGGCUGCCCCUGGCACGCUCUGGCUUGUGUUUGGCUGGUGUUUAUCUCAAUAAAGAUAUCUUGACCUUACAGAUUAUGGAUUGUCUCUUGGGUCACUCAAUACCAUUCAAUCAACACCGCUGGGUUUGUGCCUCUUCCAGGAUAUAGAGCCAGAC
ensembl:lncRNA